UACAGAGGGGGCAAGCGUUGUUCGGAAUUACUGGGCGUAAAGGGCGCGUAGGCGGCCUGUUAAGUCGAACGUGAAAUCCCCGGGCUCAACCCGGGAACUGCGUCCGAUACUGGCAGGCUUGAAUCCGGGAGAGGGAUGCGGAAUUCCAGGUGUAGCGGUGAAAUGCGUAGAUAUCGGGAGGAACACCCGUAGCGAAGGCGGCACUCUGGGCCGGAACUGACGCUGAGGAGCGAAAGCGUGGGGAGCAAACAGG
rnacentral:rRNA from 1 species